AGCGAACGCUGGCGGCAGGCCUAACACAUGCAAGUCGAACGAACUCUUCGGAGUUAGUGGCGGACGGGUGAGUAACACGUGGGAACGUGCCUUUUGGUUCGGAAUAACUCAGGGAAACUUGUGCUAAUACCGAAUGUGCCCUUCGGGGGAAAGAUUUAUCGCCAUUAGAGCGGCCCGCGUCUGAUUAGCUAGUUGGUGAGGCAACGGCUCACCAAGGCGACGAUCAGUAGCUGGUCUGAGAGGAUGACCAGCCACACUGGGACUGAGACACGGCCCAGACUCCUACGGAAGGCAGCAGUGGGGAAUCUUGCGCAAUGGGCGAAAGCCUGACGCAGCCAUGCCGCGUGAAUGAUGAAGGUCUUAGGAUUGUAAAAUUCUUUCACCGGGGACGAUAAUGACGGUACCCGGAGAAGAAGCCCCGGCUAACUUCGUG
rnacentral:rRNA from 1 species